rnacentral:tRNA from 1 species
AAAUAAGAAGCAAAAAAAUUGCAAUUAGUUUCGACCUAAUCUUUGAUAUAAUAUAUCCUUAUUUA